rnacentral:rRNA from 1 species
AACGAACGCUGGCGGCGUGCCUAACACAUGCAAGUCGAGCGGGAAAGUUCCCUUCGGGGAGCGAGUACAGCGGCGAACGGGUGAGUAACACGUAGGUAACCUACCCUGGAGUCCGGGAUAACCUGCCGAAAGGCGGGCUAAUACCAGAUAAGACCACGAGGGCUGCGGCCCUUGGGGAAAAAGAUGGCCUCUGCUUGCAUGCUAUCACUCCGGGAUGGGCCUGCGCGCCAUUAGCAGUUGGUGAGGUAACGGCUCACCAAGGCUGAGAUGGCUAGCUGGUCUGAGAGGAUGGCCAGCCACACUGGGACUGAGACACGGCCCAGACUCCUACGGGAGGCAGCAGUGGGGAAUAUUGCGCAAUGGGCGAAAGCCUGACGCAGCGACGCCGC